AGUGCCAUAAGGGGAUCCCAAGUGCGUAGGCAUAGAGCCUACGCUUUUGUCCACCCUAGGGUGGUGGACGAAUAAGGGCUGGGCAAGACCGGUGCCAGCCGCCGCGGUAAUACCGGCAGCCCGAGUGAUGGCCGAUCUUAUCGGGCCUAAAGCGUCCGUAGCUGGCCGCACAAGUCCAUCGGGAAAUCCACCUGCUCAACAGGUGGGCGUCCGGUGGAAACUGUGUGGCUUGGGACCGGAGGGCGCGACGGGUACGUCCGGGGUAGGAGUGAAAUCCCGUAAUCCUGGACGGACCGCCGAUGGCGAAAGCACGUCGCGAAGACGGAUCCCACAGUGAGGG
rnacentral:rRNA from 1 species